rnacentral:rRNA from 1 species
GCAUAUCAAUAAAGCGGAGGGAAAAGAAAAAUAACAAUGAUUUCCCUAGUAACGGCGAGUGAAGAGGAAAGAGCUCAAAGUUGGAACCCUGUUUGGCUUAGCCCAAACCGGAUUGUAAACUGUAGAAGUGUUUUCCAGACACGCCUGGUAAAAAAAGUCCUUUGGAACAGGGCAUCAUAGAGGGUGAGAAUCCCGUCUUUGGCCAGAGCUGUUGUCUUUUGUGAUACAUUUUCAAAGAGUCAGGUUGUUUGGGAAUGCAGCCUAAAUUGGGUGGUAAAUCUCACCUAAAGCUAAAUAUUUGCGAGAGACCGAUAGCGAACAAGUACCGUGAGGGAAAGAUGAAAAGAACUUUGAAAAGAGAGUUAAACAGUAUGUGAAAUUGUUAAAAGGGAACCGUUUGGAGCCAGACUGGCUUUUCUGUAAUCAAUCUAGGCUUUGGCCUGGAUGCACUUGCAGUUUAUGCCUGCCAACGACAGUUAUUUUUGAGGGAAAAAACCUUGUGGAAUGUGGCCCUUCGGGGUGUUAUAGCUACUUGGAAAAUACCUUGGAAGUGACUGAGGAUCGCAGUGAAUGCCUUUAGGCAAGAUUGCUGGGUGCUUUCGCUGAUAUAUGCUAGAAUUUCUGCCUCGGGUGGUGCUAGUGUCUAAAGGAGAAACCCGCUUAGUAUAUUUUUUAUUCGCUUAGGUUGUUGGCUUAAUGACUCUAAAUGACCCGUCUUGAAACACGGACCAAGGAGUCCACCAUAAGUGCAAGUAUUUGGGUGACAAACCCAUAUGCGCAAGGAAACUGAUUGAUACGAAGGCUUUAAGCUGGCAGUAUCACCCGGCACUGACGUUUUAUACUGAAUUGACCGAGGUAAAGCACUUAUGAUGGGACCCGAAAGAUGGUGAACUAUGCCUGAAUAGGGUGAAGCCGGAGGAAACUCCCGGUGGAGGCUCGUAGCGAUUCUGACGUGCAAAUCGAUCGUCAAAUUGGGUAUAGGGGCGAAAGACUAAUCGAACCAUCUAGUAGCUGGUCUGGCGAG